CUGUUAAUGUGGAUGGAUAUUGGAUGACCCACUAGCCCUCAAUAUGACAUGAUACGAUAUGAUAUGAUAUGGAAGUCCAGGGCUUGCCCAUUCUACGCCCCUGGCACGAUGUAAGGGAAAGACCAGGGUUGCCCAUUCUACGCCCCUGGCACAGUUGGACAUGUUAUGUUAUGUUUAAGAGGAAGUCCUGAGGAGCUCCGUCGAGGGCCGGGCAUUAUUUGGAUAUGUAGAGGGUUACUGGUGACAAGUCCAUCUUGAUGUGAAUUGU
rnacentral:lncRNA from 1 species